rnacentral:lncRNA from 1 species
AUGAAACUUCAUGNNNNNNNNNNNNNNNNNNNNCCCUGCCAGUGUCUCCGCCGGUUGAAAGCGCGUGUCUGCGUCGGGUUCUGUUUGAGAGCGUUCGGUGCGCCGUGGGUCCGCGCUGCUUCCACCCAACUUCCUGUUAGAGUUUCUCUCCUGUCACAAUGGCAUGAUCUCGGCUCACUGCGACCUCUGCUUCCUGGGUUCAAGGAUUCUCCUGCCUCAGCCUCCCAAGUAGCUGGGAUUACAGGUGCGUGCCAAUAUACCCAGCUAAUUUUCUGUAUUUUUGGUAGAGACUGGGCUUCACCAUGUUGACCAGGCUAGUCUUGAACUCCUGACCUCAGGUGAUCCAUUCGCCUCAGCAUCCCAGAUUGCUGGGAUUACAGGCGUGAGCCACCACAUCCGGCCGACUCUCAGUUUUCACAGCCUUAACAGAUGUAAAGAGCAGAGAUGACUCCAAGCUGGGUCUCCCCAGCGUUUCCUCCUAAACAUGUGCAGAUCCUGUGUUCCUGGCAGGAACAUCCUGGCCUGGUGCUGCGCUCUCCUCACUGCAGCCCACUUGGAGGAGCACCCAUCCAUCCCACCACCACUGGCGAUGUCACUUGGAAAUGGCAAAUAUUCAUUUACAAUCACAAAUUUCAUCCUGUCAAGCUUCGGAUUUCACUUUGCCAAUGGUUUUCACUGGCCUUAGAACCGUGGACUCCAGACACCGAGUUCUCCUGCCUGCUGUCCCCUCCCAUCCCGUCUGCUACA